UACGAAGGGGGCUAGCGUUGCUCGGAAUUACUGGGCGUAAAGGGCGCGUAGGCGGACAGUUUAGACAGAGGUGAAAGCCCCAGGGCUCAACCUUGGAAUUGCCUUUGAUACUGGCUGUCUUGAGUUCGGGAGAGGUGAGUGGAAUGCCGAGUGUAGAGGUGAAAUUCGUAGAUAUUCGGCGGAACACCAGUGGCGAAGGCGACUCACUGGCCCGAUACUGACGCUGAGGCGCGAAAGCGUGGGGAGCAAACAGGAUUAGAAACCC
rnacentral:rRNA from 1 species